rnacentral:pre_miRNA from 1 species
CAAGUACUCCCUCCGUCCAAAAAUACUUGUCAUCAAAAUGGAUAAAAUGAUGUAUCUAGAACUAAUAUACAUCUAGAUACAUCCCCUUUUAUUCAUUUUGAUGACAAGUAUUUCCGGACGGAGGGAGUACUAU